ACGGGGUGCAGCAGGCGCGAAAACUUUGCAAUGUGCGAAAGCACGACAAGGUUAAUCCGAGUGGUUUCUGCUAAAGGAACCUUUUGUUAGUCAUAGAACCACUAAUGAAUAAGGGGUGGGCAAGUUCUGGUGUCAGCCGCCGCGGUAAAACCAGCACCUCAAGUGGUCAGGAUGAUUAUUGGGCCUAAAGCAUCCGUAGCCGGCUUUGUUAGUUUUCGGUUAAAUCCAUACGCUCAACGUAUGGGCUGCCGGGAAUACUGCAAGGCUAGGGAGUGGGAGAGGUAGACGGUACUCGGUAGGAAGGGGUAAAAUCCUUUGAUCUAUUGAUGACCACCUGUGGCGAAGGCGGUCUACCAGAACACGUCCGACGGUGAGGGAUGAAAGCUGGGGGAGCAAACCGGAUUAGAUACCCGGGUAGUCCCAGCUGUAAACUAUGCAAACUCGGUGAUGCAUUGGCUUGAUGCCAAUGCAGUGCCGCAGGGAAGCCGUUAAGUUUGCCGCCUGGAAGUACGUACGCAAG
rnacentral:rRNA from 1 species